ensembl:snoRNA SNORA11G small nucleolar RNA, H/ACA box 11G
GGGGUGUGCUCAGAGCAGAAUGCCCAAAGAAUGGCUCCUCUGUUUACAACACACCCGAUAGAAACUUGGGUUUACUCCUCACAGGUGGCAGGAUACUUUGGCCUCCCUGUGACACCAUGCCCUAUACAU